UACAGAGGUCUCAAGCGUUGUUCGGAUUCAUUGGGCGUAAAGGGUGCGUAGGCGGCGCGGUAAGUCGGGUGUGAAAUCUCGGGGCUUAACUCCGAAACUGCAUUCGAUACUGCCGUGCUUGAGGACUGGAGAGGAGACUGGAAUUUACGGUGUAGCGGUGAAAUGCGUAGAUAUCGUAAGGAAGACCAGUGGCGGAGGCGGGUCUCUGGACAGUUCCUGACGCUGAGGCACGAAGGUCAGGGGAGCAAACGGG
rnacentral:rRNA from 1 species